UACGUAGGGUGCGAGCGUUAAUCGGAAUUACUGGGCGUAAAGCGCACGUAGGCGGCUUUGUAAGUUAGAGGUGAAAGCCCGGGGCUCAACUCCGGAAUUGCCUUUAAGACUGCAUCGCUAGAAUUGUGGAGAGGUAAGUGGAAUUCCGAGUGUAGAAGUGAAAUUCGUAGAUAUUCGGAAGAACACCAGUGGCGAAGGCGACUUACUGGACACAUAUUGACGCUGAGGUGCGAAAGCGUGGGGAGCAAACAGG
rnacentral:rRNA from 1 species